UUUUUUAACUCCCAUUUUUAUUUCUGUUUUGAUUUGAAUUAAUUUAAAAUGUUUUCUUGGUUCAUAAAAAUAUCCAAAAAUAUUUUCCAUAUUUCUUGAUGCCUUAUUUAAUUUUAUUUAAUUUUUAUUUUCGCAUUUUUUUAAUAUUAAUAUUUUAUUUUAUUUAUUCAUUCCAAGUGGUCCAUUUUAGCCUACAUUUGAUUCUUGAUUUUAUUUUU
rnacentral:lncRNA from 1 species